rnacentral:rRNA from 1 species
AUCAUGAGUUCACAUGUCCGCAUGAUUAAAGGUAUUUUCCGGUAGACGAUGGGGAUGCGUUCCAUUAGAUAGUAGGCGGGGUAACGGCCCACUUAGUCAACGAUGGAUAGGGGUUCUGAGAGGAAGGUCCCCCACAUUGGAACUGAGACACGGUCCAAACUCCUACGGGAGGCAGCAGUGAGGAAUAUUGGUCAAUGGGCGAUGGCCUGAACCAGCCAAGUAGCGUGAAGGAUGACUGCCCUAUGGGUUGUAAACUUCUUUUAUAAAGGAAUAAAGUCGGGUAUGCAUACCCGUUUGCAUGUACUUUAUGAAUAAGGAUCGGCUAACUCCGUGCCAGCAGCCGCGGUAAUACGGAGGAUCCGAGCGUUAUCCGGAUUUAUUGGGUUUAAAGGGAGCGUAGAUGGAUGUUUAAGUCAGUUGUGAAAGUUUGCGGCUCAACCGUAAAAUUGCAGUUGAUACUGGAUGUCUUGAGUGCAGUUGAGGCAGGCGGAAUUCGUGGUGUAGCGGUGAAAUGCUUAGAUAUCACGAAGAACUCCGAUUG